UAGUAUGGGGAUCUGCCCGAUAGAGGGGGAUAACUACUGGAAACGGUGGCUAAUACCGCAUAAUGUCUACGGACCAAAGCAGGGGCUCUUCGGACCUUGCACUAUCGGAUGAACCCAUAUGGGAUCAGCUAGUAGGUGGGGUAAAGGCUCACCUAGGCGACGAUCUCUAGCUGGUCUGAGAGGAUGAUCAGCCACACUGGGACUGAGACACGGCCCAG
rnacentral:rRNA from 1 species